UUAAGACAAAGUGAGGGGAUGUUAUUUUAAGUCAGAAAAGCUGGAUUCAGAUUCAAGUGUAGGAUCUGUCUUUAAUUCCCUGAACUUGGGAAGUUCCUUUUGCUCCUCUGGCCUCAGUUUUAUUCUUCUGUAGAAAGGAGCUAGGGCCUCAUCUGGUUCCCAGGAUGCUGUGUGAUUCAUAAUGCAUGAAAGUGCACGACGAGCUAGCUUCGUGAUGGCUUUGGUUAUUAAGGCCUUAUGUUGCCUGGUGUUGCAGAGUAAGCUCCCCCAUGGACCAGAGGGCAGGGGUGUGGACUGAUCCACAGCCUCUGUGCGGGGCAGAACUUGUCCUGGCCUGUGGCUCAGCCACAGGGGUGGAUGACCCCAUCACCUAGGUAAACACAGGCUUACUUGUGCUUACUUACUCAUCUGUACUGAAUAAUUUCAGAUGGAUUUCACCACAUCUAAGUAAGCCCAUGCUUCCCUUGCUUACUGGGUCAUCCGCCCCUGACAAGGACUGUAGAUUCAAAGAGAGGCUUUCAUUCUGUAGGAAGGUGCUGCGUGGUUGGGAAAAGAGACAGAUGCCAGCCAUACCUAGAAGCGGAAUCUUUGAAGUGGUGAAAAAAUGUGAAAUUGUUCACUACAGAUGAUCUAGUAAGCAAGAUAAGCAUUGUGCUUACCCUGCAUAUUGGAUAAUCUGCCACUGCUCAGGCCUCUUGACCUCUUGGGCCUGUUCACUUGGCCAUGCAGUUCAAGGUUGCUGUCACCAGGGGUCAGGUUUGCACAUUUAUUGCUAAUACUUGCCUUUCGUGAUGCUCCAGGGAGCCUCCAGACUGUAAACAAGAGGGACAGGGAGGCUGGGGUAGUGGCACGUUUUUUUAUGUGGGUCCUGGAGCUGUGGGUCUGUGGCCUGCAGAACCGGAAGGUCAGCUGUUAUUCUCUCUAUUGACAUCCCACUUUGUACCUUCUGGAGUCCUUGGGUGGUACAAACGGGUAAGCGCUUGACUACUAACUGAAAGAAUGGUGGUUUGAACAUAUCCAGAGGUGUCUUGGAAGAAAGGCCUGGCUACCUGCUUUUAAAAGGUCACAGCCAAUGAAAAUUUUAUGGAGCGCAGUCCUACUCUGAAUUCAUGGGUUCUCCAUGAGUCAGACUGACACAGUGGCAAUUGGCCUGGUCUGCUUAUUGUACCUUCUGGGGGCUUCAUCUGUUUGACCCUUCACCAGGAGGUCCCGUGAAAGAGGUUGGGUUAGGUGGUUGGUGUUCAGAGAGAGCCCUGGACAAAGAGUGUGAACAGAGUUUAGGUCCCAGCUCUAAGUUGGUCUCUCGCUAGUGUCCUUGGUGGGUGAGCCUCAGUUUCUUCUUCAGUAGAAUGGGGUAAUAACACCUCCCUUGGGGGAUUUUUUUGGGGGGGAUGUGUCAAGAUACAGUGAAUUGAGGUGUGGUUGGUUCUUGGGCAGCGAUGGCUUCUCUAGGCCAGCCCAGCCCCUGUCUAGCAUGGCUUAUGAUGGAAAUGGGGAGAUAAGAGAGAAACACAGGAAAAGAACAGUACAAAUGUUGUCACGAGAUAUCUUGUGACCCAUUGCCAUAUCCUGGAAGCAAGCACAGAGGCAGGAGAGGGCGCUGUGGCCCAGAGGGUCCAAUUUACUGGCUUGAGCUCACACAGCUCACAUAGCUUGGGGUUCACCUGGCAGGGGACUGAACUGGGCUUUGAUGUCCUUACAAAUGAGAGUUAGAUCAGGUACUGAAGGCAGGUGUGGCCAGAUGAACAUCCAGGCAGUGGGGCUUCUGGCGUUCUAGGUUCAGUUCAAUAUAUUUCCUUGACACCUGCUCUGGCCCAGAGGGCUGGUUCUCUGGAGGCAGAAACAGAGGCUUUUGGUGCAGUGUAAUGAGCAGCAAGGUGCCUACACUCUUUGAUACAGGGAUUGGACCAAGCACCCAGAGAAGGCUUUACCGUUUCCAUUGCCAGGCCUCUUUCAAGAACCACGUGCAUCCAUGUCUUUAUUGACCAGGGAGAAAGUUGAAUCACCCUGGGGUGAAAGAAGAGUUGGUGUCUUUGAACUGGGCCCUCCCUGGCCAGUCACCCUGCCUUCCUCCUGGCCCCCACCCUGUUGCACCUCAUCGGGGGGACAGCCAUGCAAGGACUCUAUUCACCAGUCCCUCACUGUGGGGGUGGAGGGAAGCCUGAGGGCUCUUGGUAGUACUCUUUCUCCCCGUGAGUCCCUGUGCUCCUCCCCCACUCCCCCAGAGUUGCUGUGGUUUCCCCGUCAGCAGAAACGACUCCUCACCCACAAUUGCAUCAAUCCCUCCAUAGUCAAAGUGACUUAUGUUGUAAGAUAUGGUCAGGGACUGCACCCUGUACUCUGGUUAUGGGCUGGCUGGGCCAGCCACAUUGGGGGUUGGGGCUGACCUUGUUUUGACUUGGAUUUCGGCGAGGAGAGGAAUGCAGGGAUGGGGUGAGUGUGAGAAGACAUAAGACUCAUCCACACAGCCAGGAGGGGGCACUGAGGCAAGUGUCCAGUGACCUUGACCAGACCACACUGGGGAACCAUGUGGCUUGCUUACCCCCAUCCCCACCACUACCACCAACAGCAAAAGAGGAAUGAAGAGAACCAACUGAUUCACCUUCUGAUACACUGCAGUGGGGUGGGGGACCAGGGGGGUGAGUUGGUUUAGUUUCUUCCUCUUUCUUUAUUUUGCAUUCCUUGGCUUGCUUCCCCUUCAGCUGACACAUUGUGGCCACGGGCUGAGGGCUUCCAACCUCAAGACCAAUUUCUUCCCUCUCUCUGUUUCACAGGCACAGCCUUGGGCAGGAACUAUCUUUAGGGAGCGAUGAGAAUCCACCCGCCUUGAGUUUUUGGGAUCCUCCUCGGGGCAGAGACAGGUCUCCUCCCAAGAAGGCAGGAACUACUCUGCCCAUUUUUCAGAUGAAGAGGAUGAGGCCUGAAGGGAUCUCAACAACCCUGUGUGGAAGGCACUCUGUUCUCAGCACUGUGGUAGAGAAGAGGAAACCGAGGCCCAGGGAAAUGAAUUUGCUCAAGCAACACAUAGCCAAUAAGUAAGAUCCAGGGUUCAUGCCAGCUCUACCUGUAGACCGCCCACCCCUUUCCUCCCAAAGGGUUCUACCAGUGAAGCUUAACGUGGGAGCCACAGCUCAAAGAAGGCAAAGUCUCGGCACACUGAAGGCCGCCUGAGCCCCCAGCAUCCUUGGGAACAGGGAACAUGAAGCCCUCAUCCGCUGAAGAGCUGGGGGCGGGCAGCUGGAGCCCCUCCUGUGUUUCAGCUCCCCUUCACCACCGGCUGGUCUGCUGAGCUCUAGCGUCCACGAACACCCUCCCCACCUGGUCCGCCAAGAUAGCAGCUGCCAAGGUGUUGACGUGUCCCUGACAUCCUUCCACUCAGGGGAGCUGCUGACACCAGCAGGUCUGCCAGCUGAUUGUGGUUCAGGAUGUGUGUGGAGCUUCCCUUCUCAUCUCACCAUCAUCACUCACCGGGUCCCCGCCGGCAGCCAGCUGGGUGGGCUCCAGGGCAGUCCACUGGGACGGGGUGAGGGAAGAUUCUGCACAGGGGCUGAGCCAGAAGGCUGGGACCUCCAAGCCUGGGCCUGAGCCGGCAGGCUGAGCUUGUUACCACCCUGCAGCCCUCAGCUGUCCCCUUCAUACUAGGCUGGGACACAUGGUUCAACAAUUUCUAGAAAAAUGGGCAUGGGGAUCACUGAGCUGAUAAAGCCAAAACACCUCAUUUUCCAGCUGGGGAAACUGAGGCCCAGGGAGAAGGGCCUUGUCCAAGUUCACUCAGUGCAAAGGUUGGGCCAGACCUCAGCUUUAUUUGUACAGCAAACACGGAUGCAGAAUCCCUUUCAGGCUGGGUACUGUGCAGGGGAAUGAUGGAGACUCAGCCCCUGGCCCUCUGGCUGGAGGAACGUUCUUCCAGACCUCCUCUCAUGUGAUCUUUGGGGGUACCUGUGGGUGUGAGUCAAGAUGGCCAAACACCCAACUCCUGUGGUGUGAGUUGCCUGGUCUGGGAGCUGAGUCUGUGACUGCGUUGAUGACGAGGACCACAUCUUUUCCUUGCGUGCUCCCGUCCCCGCUUGGAUCCCAGUACCCUGGCAUAGACCUGGGUAUGCUGCAGUUAACAGCUGCAAACCUGUGGAUUCGGAGAUUCCGCAGGAGCACUGCCCAGGCCUGCCUCCUGCUCUCCUCUUGCCAUUUGUGAUCACCUUCGAAAAGCACAGACGGUGCUUCAGGGGACAGAACAGAGCCUUCUGACACAACAAACAGGUGGGGCUGAUGACUCCCGGAAGCCGGCAGAGAACCUGCUCGGCAGCAGCUCUCACCAUCCACAACUGGGCCCUGGGGCUGGCUGACGUCCAUGCUCGGGAAUGAAGAGUGGAUUCCUGGAUUGCCCUCUGCUGACACUGCGUUUCUUGACGAUGAUUGUCUACCUAGCAGCGACACUGAGGAACCUGAAGAUGGAAGCCUCUGGAAGCCAGGUCCCAGCACCGACUCCCCUGCCAGCUUCAUUCUCUGGUUGCUAUUGAGUCGACUGACUCAUGGUGACCCCAUGUAUGUCAGAGCAGGACUAUGCUCAGUAGGGUUUUCAAUGACUGAUUUUUUUGAAAUAGACUGUCAGUCCUUUCUUCUGAGGCACGUCUGGGUGGACUAGAACCUCCAGUCUUUUGGUUAGCAGCCAAACAUGUUAACUACUUGUACCACCCAGGGUCUCUACUUUAUCCUCAGAAAAACUCAGUGCUGGGUUCAUAUUUUCAUAAGUAUAAAAUUCUUUUGUUUGCCUUCUCUUGGUGUAUUCCUUCCAUCGUCUAGAACUUUCUUAGGCUGAGAAAGUAUCUCCAGCAUAGGGGUGAAGAGAGUAGGCUCUGGAGGCGGUCAGCUGGCAUCUAGCUCACAGCUCUACCACUUACUGGCUCUGUGACCUGGUCCAGCCAAUUAGCCUCUCUGUUGCCUCAGUUUUCCCACCUGUGAAUUGGGGAUAAUAAUGGCACCCAAGUCACAGAAUGAUUCUGAGGAUCCAGUGAGUUAACUCAGGAAACGUAAAGGGUGUUUAGGGCCCUGUGACUCCCACAUCACAGGCUCCAUGCUCCCCCGGCUCCCUACCCACGCCAACUUCGGAGGAGACAACUGAGUCAUAUCCAAGCUGCUGCCUAAAUGAACCAACUUCCAGAUCAGCUUAUUAUCAAAACACGGUAUGACUGUUGUUUUUAUGCUCAAUAAACAGU